UACCGCCGCGGUGAAUAAAUCACGUUGCGUCAAGCUCCGUAAAUCGAUCCACUCUGCGCUUCCACGCAUUCUUUGUUGGAGUGCACCCGUGGAGUUUUUCCCCACAGGAUGAAAUACUGCUUUUUAUUUUUCGGGCCUGUCAAGAAACUUGAGCAGUUAUUCCCAGUCCGGCGCCGCUGAAUUAAUGGAGAAUUAAAGAGCAUCGGCUGAGUGAAGCCUCUCAGAAUCCCAACCCAGAUGAAAGCCAAGCCGAUGCCCUACGGGCCACGGAGGCGUAAACCGUGACAGCGUGCCCCGCCCAGUGCCACCCUUGCCACCUCCUGGCCACAGCGGCAGGGGCGGACAAAGCUGUUCUAUCGAUUGACCUAACAGAGGGAUUGAUUGAGGCGCAUUUGCAUGGAGAUCUGUUCCACGGCGGCUUAGAGAUCCUGAUCGAUCGCCCGGGAUUGAAGUGUAGUCGUCUCUGGAUGCUUUUCAGAGGUUGAGAACCUUGCAGUCCAUCUCUCAUGGGGGCAAGCGAUGAACAUUUCCCCUUAUUCGAAAUCAAGACUCAUCAGACCAGGCAACAUUCUUCCAGUCUUCAACUGUCCAAUUUUGAGGGAGAUCCAUUCACUUUGAAAAAUGUGGCAUUCAAAUGUCAAAAGGAAGGGGUUUCAGGACUGCCUCGUGAAAUCUGACCA
ensembl:lncRNA